rnacentral:tRNA from 2 species
GCCCCCGUAGCUCAGGGGACAGAGCAGCUGCCUUCUAAGCAGCGGGUCGUGUGUUCGAAUCGCACCGGGGGCG